CUAGCCGUCGAAGGUGGGACAAAUGAUUGGGGUGAAGUCGUAACAAGGUAGCCGUAUCGGAAGGUGCGGCUGGAUCACCUCCUUU
rnacentral:rRNA from 5 species